ACUACACGAUUCAAUACUAGAUGGCAAGUUGUUUAUGAUGGAAAAAGGGAAAGAUUGUCAAGCUAUAUGGGAACAUUGGUGCGAUCUCAACACAAUGUACCCAUCCAAAUUCAAGAUUGGAAUCAUGUUAGUGAAGAUGUGAAGGAAAAGAUUUGGGCCUUAGUAUUGGAAAAAUAUGAACUAGAAGAAACAUAUGAGGAGAGAUUGUGCCAUCG